GCAUAUCAAUAAGCGGAGGAAAAGAAACCAACAGGGAUUGCCCUAGUAACGGCGAGUGAAGCGGCAUCAGCUCAAAUUUGAAAUCUGGCUCUUUUAGGGUCCGAGUUGUAAUUUGCAGAGGGCGCUUUGGCGUUGGCAGCGGUCCAAGUUCCUUGGAACAGGACGUCACAGAGGGUGAGAAUCCCGUACGUGGUCGCUGGCCUUCGCCGUGUAAAGCCCCUUCGACGAGUCGAGUUGUUUGGGAAUGCAGCUCUAAAUGGGAGGUAAAUUUCUUCUAAAGCUAAAUACUGGCCAGAGACCGAUAGCGCACAAGUAGAGUGAUCGAAAGAUGAAAAGCACUUUGGAAAGAGAGUCAAAUAGCACGUGAAAUUGUUGAAAGGGAAGCGCUUGCAGCCAGACUUGCCUGUAGUUGCUCAUCCGGGCUUUUGCCCGGUGCACUCUUCUGCGGGCAGGCCAGCAUCAGUCUGGGCGGUUGGAUAAAGGCCUCUGUCAUGUACCUCCUUUCGGGGAGGCCUUAUAGGGGAGGCGCCAUGCAACCAGCCUGGACUGAGGUCCGCGCAUCUGCUAGGAUGCUGGCGUAAUGGCUGUAAGCGGCCCGUCUUGAAACACGGACCAAGGAGUCUAACAUCUAUGCGAGUGUUUGGGUGUCAAGCCCGAACGCGUAAUGAAAGUGAACGGAGGUGGGAUCCCUUUAGGGUGCACCAUCGACCGAUCCUGAUGUCUUCGGAUGGAUUUGAGUAAGAGCAUGGCUGUUGGGACCCGAAAGAUGGUGAACUAUGCUUGAAUAGGGUGAAGCCAGAGGAAACUCUGGUGGAGGCUCGCAGCGGUUCUGACGUGCAAAUCGAUCGUCAAAUUUGGGCAUAGGGGCGAAAGACUAAUCGAACUAUCUAGUAGCU
rnacentral:rRNA from 1 species